GAUGAACGCUGGCGGCGUGCCUAAUACAUGCAAGUCGAGCGAACAGACGAGAAGCUUAAUCCUCUGACGUUAGCGGCGGACGGGUGAGUAACACGUGGAUAAACCACCUAUAAUACUGGGAUAACUGCGGGAAACCGGCGCUAAUACAGGAUAAUAUAUUGAACCGCAUGGUUCAAUAGUGAAAGACGGUUUUGCUGUCACUUAUAGAUGGAUCCGCGCCGCAUUAGCUAGUUGGUAAGGUAACGGCUUACCAAGGCAACGAUGCGUAGCCGACCUGAGAGGGUGAUCGGCCACACUGGAACUGAGACACGGUCCAGACUCCUACGGGACGCAGCAGUAGGGAAUCUUCCGCAAUGGGCGAGAGCUUGACGCAGCAACCCCGCGUGAGUAAAGAAGAUCUUGGGGUCGUAAAACGCUAUUAUAAGGGAAGAACAACUGUGUAAUUAACUAUUCUCGGCUUGACGGUACCUAAACAGAAUGCCACGGCUAACUUCAGU
rnacentral:rRNA from 1 species